rnacentral:lncRNA from 1 species
GUCCAUUCAAACAAUUCCUCACGAAACCUGAACAUCUGAAANAUGAAAGUGAUAUAUAUAUAUAUAUAUAUAUAUAUAUAUAUAUAUAUAUUUCAAAACAUCACAAUCUAGUAUAAUUAUAUAACCUGAUCGGUGGAAAUUUACGAUUUUUUAGUAGAAACAUCUUCAUCGCGAGCAGACAAGUUGAUUCCGAACAAAUUAAACAUAUCUAUAUACAAAAAUCACAAUAGAUAUAUUUAAUAUAAUGUUGCACAAAUACAAAAACCAUAAGCUUUUAUAUAAAAUAAUUCAAUAUUUUUUAGACUGAAAAAAUAGUGUAUUAACAUAAAUAAAUAUUUGCAAUUAUUUUAAUAAAAAAAUAAAAAAAAAAAUGCAGUACUUAGAUAAUACGUCCGAUUAUAGUUUGUCGAUAGAAGCUUCCACGUGAAGCCAUUAUUUAAUUGGAACAAAAUAUAUGCAUUUAUGUAAACUUGGAACAAAGGGUUAAAAUGAAUUUUUUUUAAUCUAACGGGCUAUAAAUAUAAAAUUUUAAGAUAUAAAAAUGUUACUUUCUCGAAACCCUAACAUAUUAAAUUAGCCGCCAAGAAGGGAGUAACAUACCAAGAAGCGAUUUCCGGCGACAAAAUUCGAAUUCCGACGGCUUCUAAAUGCGAUUUCCGGCAACAAGAGGCGAAUUCCGACGGCGGUCUUUCUCGCGAUAUUCUAGUCGUGUUUCUCACAGUCUCUUUUACUCUUGUUCUGUCUUUUCCGGAUAUAUCGUUAUGUCUCCGGCGUAAAUUAUGAGGGGCUCGUUUUUCUCAAUCCGGCCACGGUGGUUCAAGGUUGUUUAAGAUAUUCAGAAGGUGUUGAAUGGUGGUUAAUGAUGGUUGAAAUGGUAAAAGGUGUUUGACGAUGGUAAAUGGUGGUUCCGGUGAUCUUUGUUUCGAUUUCUCUUUCUCCCUUUCUAUCUCCGGCGUGGUUUGGUUACCGCCGGUUAGUUGUUGUCGGCGGUAGUUUGUUGAUUGAAGUUGGUUCCGGUGGUGAACAAAUGUUUUGAUGAUUAUUGUUAAUAUACCAAUUAAAUGUUUUAUUUUCGGUUUAUAUAAAAUGUUUUGGUUUAUUAGUUGGUUAAAAGGAUUAAUAGUGUUCAAUCUUCAAUGUAAUUGUAGUUUGUUCAUAAUCUGAAAAUUUAUUCUUUUUAUAAAUUAAUCAGAGUCUUCAAAACAUUAAUAUCGUCUAUAUACAUGAAAAAGUUGAAUACGCAUAAAAAUCUGUAGUUAAUGUUUUCAAUGUAGUACUUUUUAUUUAUUGGAUAAAAAACCUGGAAUAAAAAAAAAAAAACUGCAAAAAAAGUUAGUAGUAGAAAGUCAACUACCAAACAAGUCAUGAUUGGAGAGGUAGAGUCAAGGAAAAAGGGGUAGUGAUAGUAGAAGAGAAAAUACAAAAAAAAAAAAUAAAAAAAUGGGGGAGUGUUUUCAAAAAAUAGACAUAAAAAUGGACUUUUCC